UCUACGCUAUGCACGUUCAUCGGCACUCCGUGAUAAAAGCCCUGGUGGAAGUGCUGACAGCAGCUGAGGUUACCACACAGUAGGAUCCAGGUCCCCUGCAGCGCUGCGGGGGCUCUGGAUCUUAGUCUCAUAGUCAGACCUCUAUUUGAGGUCUCGAUUAUAAGACAAGGGGUAUUUUUCCCCCAGAGCAUUUGCUCUGAAAAAACACGACCCCCCAAAAUCUGAAUAUUAAUUUAUGAAAAAGCCUGAAUAUAAGACGACCCUAUAGGAAAAAAGUUUUACCAGUAAAUGUUAAUUCAUGUAAACUCUGAACACUUUUUUU